rnacentral:rRNA from 1 species
UACGGGGGGGGCAAGCGUUGUUCGGAAUUACUGGGCGUAAAGCGCACGUAGGCGGCUUUGUAAGUUAGAGGUGAAAGCCCAGGGCUUAACCCUGGAAUUGCCUUUAAGACUGCAUCGCUAGAAUCGUGGAGAGGUGAGUGGAAUUCCGAGUGUAGAGGUGAAAUGCGUAGAUAUCAGGAGGAACACCGAUGGCGAAGGCAGGUCUCUGGGCUGACACUGACGCUCAUGCACGAAAGCGUGGGGAGCAAACAGG